AAGUCAACAAUAUUUACAAACAGCAUAAAUAGUUUUUUAAACAAAAAUCCAAAGUAUUUAAGCAGCAUAAUACACCUGGGCUAUGAGACCUAUCAGACAUAACACAUACCCAUGGGGUAUUCUCGACACACACCUGUACAAAAACACUACCUUAAGAAUUUUAACUCUCCCACGUCACAUCAAAAAAAGUGGUACGUGGACCCAUCAAAACAAAAGUCAAACUGACAAUAUAAGAUAUAAGUACAGUCUUCCAAAUUGAAAUAAUUACAACCACAAAAGAAAGACAUAUAGACCUUAUACAACCAUCUAAUAUGAUCAUGCUACAAAAAAACCUAUACAACUCGGGUGAUCUCCACACGCGUCGCAAGAUCCUCCUGACACAGCUUCGGUCAGGUAUGUCUAACUACCUUCCCAUCUCGAGGGUACUAACCGGUAGGACGAUCUUGGUCCUCAUCUAAGGGCAAAUCCCAUAUUUCCACAAUAAUUGUAAAUGGCCAUCAAUCGAAAUUAACAAAUAACAUUUAGCAAAAUUCUUAUAUUUUCAAAUGCUCAAAAAAACUUUUCGUCUUAGCAUACUCCUCGAAAGGGUUUUCAUAUGUCCAAAAAUACAUAAACAAUGUUUAAAAAUGAAGUUUUUGACAAACUGCACUGUCAUAGCCGAAUAGAACUGAGAAAAUGCAUAUUUUCAGUUCUAAAAUGGCUCUGAAUCAAUUAACACUUCAAACAUUCAUAUUACCAAUUAUGAACACAUAAUUAACACCAAAUUAAUCUCCACAAAUUCACAGCCCAAUCACACAUCAAACAUUCUUAACAUCAAUUAUGAACACAUAAGUACAUCAAAACUUAAUCAACCCAAAUUUACACCUCAAAGCAAUUACGACAAAUCACAACAUCAACCGAAUAUGUAUAUACAAUCAUCAUAGUAUAACAAACAUGACUCGCGUGCCAAACACCCUAAUGCAAUGCGUAAAUGCCAAAAUGCAUGAUUCUGUAAUUCCAACCAAAACCUUCCUCAAAUGGGCGUAAAUCAUAAUUGUACAACCUCUCACAGACCAAUACUAAUUACUAAGGUGCAAUCUCUCACAGAUCAGCACGAUUUACUAGCGUGCAAUCGCUCACAGAACAACACGAUUUUCUAGAGUGCAAUCGCUCACAGCAGAUCAACACAUUCUAGAGUGCAACCUCUCACAGACCAGCACUAAUUACCAAAAUGCAAUCUCUCACAGAUCAGCACGACGCGAUAAUCCCCGUAAGGAUAAGAUGAACCAACAGAUCACAUGACAUCAUCCCUUGGCCCAUCACGGUCACCACUAUCACCAUGGCUCCAUCGCGGUCAUCAUGUACUAUGAAAUGUAUGAGCAUACUCUGACUUUUUUCACCACAAUCAUUAAGUAAAUGCAACUAUGAAAAGAUUUUCCAUUUUUAAUACUCAUUUAACACUAACGAUUUUUCAAACUUAUCACAGAGUAUACUCAAAACAAAUUUUCCUCAAUAAAAUUCAUAACGUACAUAUUAUCAGUUAUGAAUAUACAAUCACAUCAAAACUUAAUCACCACAACAACAUUAAUAUAUUAGAGUUCUUUUCACCGCUAACUCGGUGCCAACGGUCUCGAUUCCUUUUCAAGACUCAAGGAGCUAACUACAUAAACAUUUUUAUAACAAUUUGUUCACAAUAAAAUUAAUCCAACCACAAAAAAAUUCCCAAAAUUAAAUCUUUCUCACACACCAAACUUUUAUAACCAAAUAAUUUAUAUUAUUUAGUUAAAACUAAAUAAAACAAAUAUUGUCCAAAUCUCACAUACACACACUCGACUAUUAAAGCACCAAAAUUUUUGAGUUAAUAAAAUACUCUAAUUUUUUUUUCUUUUUAAAUUCAAAAGUAAUUAAAAUAGUAACAUUUUAAACUCUAAUCAUUUUUAAUUUCAAUCUACCUUUUUGCUCAAUCUCUUUAAUUUAGUUAAAAUUUGAACUUUUUCACAAUUUUAACAACUCUAAUUUUUUUUUGUAAAAUUUCAACUUCAGUUCAAACUCAUUUAUUUAAAAAUAACUCAUUACGUAACUCAAACACAUCAAAUUUAGUUACCGCCAAUUUACACCAAAAUCAAUCAAUUCAAUUCCACAACACACAUAUAACACCUAAAUUAAAUUUCAACAAUUCAAACAUAAAUCACCCAAUUUUAAAACUCUACAUUUUUACACAUAAACCACCAAAUUUUAUCUCCAUAGCACACAUAAAUCACAUUAAAUUCAUUUUUCACAAUCAAACACACAAACCUCAUAAAUUUCCACCUCCACAAAUACACAUAUAAAGUCCUAUAUGCAGUCUAAAAGUUUGGAAAGAGCAUUUACCUUCGUUGUAGUUUUUACAACUGUUUUCGUUACCGCGAUCAAAUACGGCGAAAACUCUCGCUCGCGUCAUCACUUCAAAAGCUAACUCACUAGCACCGUAAUGUGGAGAGGAGUAACUUUCCCUUAUGUCACUUCUCAAAUGGAAGCUUAAAUCUAGUAGAUAAACAAAGGUUUGUGUUUUAUGAUUUUAUCGCUUAUGAUUUUGCUUUCUCUCUGUUCUAGCCUUGCCUUCCUCUCAUAUAUCGCUUAUGGUUUUGCUUUUUAUCUAUUUUUAG
rnacentral:lncRNA from 1 species